UACCUACUAACUAAUAAGAUAAAUCAUAGCGUAUAUGAUGCGGCAUUCAAAGAGGUGGAGAUCGUAGUAUCCCAUUCAUCAUAAAUGCUCAUGUAAUUCUGAAAAUUACACCGCGAGAGCGAGAGAAACGCGUCUUAAAUUUAAAAGUCCUACGGUAUCGACUACGGUAAUUUCUACGGAACACCCUGUACGUAGACCAGUAAGAAAAGCAAAGAAAGGAGAGAAACGUGGAAGGGAAAGGUGGAGGCUUUGCGAGACAGCCUCGGACUUCCCUGAAAGGUUUGUCGUCGGGUGACGUCAGCCCUCGUCCACAAAACGGUCGCCAUCGCAUAUGUACAUCUGUCGCUCGCCCAUAUGUGUGUGUUCCGCGUUUUUGAAUAAAAAAGGAGCAGAAUGAACCGCGAGAAGAGCAUCGCAGGUAGGUAAUCGGACAACGAACCCGGUUUAUGCGGUUCUCUUCCUCCUAUUCCCUAUUUUUCUUUUUCCUUUUUUCACGUCGCGUUUGCACCGCAUCUCCUCUUCUACGCGAUUUGUUCCAUAAAGAAUUGUCUUUCACGUCUAUUAGACGGAUAUAAUUACAUUUGCAUAUUUUAAUACUGCUCAGUGGGAAACCAGUUUUUAUAAAAAAAAAAUAAUGAAUAAAAAUAUCGAUGACGACGGUGAUACAAUCUUGAAUGUGCGAUAAAAGUUUCAAGAUAUAUUGUCCUAUUAUUAUCGCGCUAUCGUUCAAGAGAGGAUGCAUCUGCGUGAAAUUAAAGCUUAAGCUUAAGAAAGUAUUAGUUGAGAGAAUAUCUGGAGGAGACUAAGCUAACGGUCGAUAUCUUCGGUCGCGAUCUACGCGAUUGCAAGUUCGAUGAGUACGGAUCUACUUGUUUCGCAAUGAACAAAACUCUUUGUCCUAAAUAACUGAAAUAAAUAUGUUUGUAUCUAUAUUUACAAAAAUGUUGUAAAAGUGUAUGACAGUAUUGCUUUUCGGCUCGUUUGUAAAAGUAUAAAUUAAGUUUCCUAUUAUCAAGUUACGCAUAUAAAUAGAAUCCUCCUAUCGAUUCUAUUAUAGAUAAUUUUCGCAAAAAAGGAACAACAAUUUUAUAUUUCCAUUCAUAAUUUUAUUUACAUGAAAGUAUUACUUUGGACUGUUAUCGAGUAACAGUGAGUCAAAACGUGCUGUUAGCAUAGCGGAGUCAGAGCGAAGUCCUAAUUUGGACUUGGAUUACAACACAGCCUCUUUAUUUUCCGAUGAACUCGAUGCCACCAAAUACGGAACGUAAAAUUAACACCCACGUAAAUACUAUCUUUCGCAAGAUAAGCCUUUUAUUUCUAACGAAAGACUGGCAAA